UUUGAGGAAGAUCUUCUCAUUAUAUUGAAGAUCUCAUGAAAAAGCAGAAGAUGGAGAAUUAUUCAGUGGUUGAUAGACCUACUGUCUAGUACCAGUUCUGCCAUUAACUCUGUGCUUUAAUUUCUUUCUCUGUGACCUGAGAAUAAUAAAAUUAGCCUUUUAAUAUUAUCAUGGGUAUCAAGUGAAGUAUUGGAAAUAGCAGGGUCUUGUUAACUGUAAAAAGAUGUGCACACACGGACCUUGCCCAUCUGUGGAGAUUGCAAUCUGCAGUGCUCAUCUCGACUGAGAGCCUCUAUCCAGCAGUUACCAAGAUACUGAGAUAUACAUCACAAUGCAGAGGGAACCAGGACUUCAGGAGUUGGACACCCGGCCUUGGAAACUGAUUGUUUACAUUUGUGUGUAGUCUCCUCGAAGCAGAGUUUAGGUCAUAGCUCUUCUGAGCCUGGAAAAGUCAACUGGAAGCUGCUAAUGGCCGGUUGUCCCAUCUGAUUGCUUCUUUCCAGUCCUCCCUUGCACUCAGGGAAGCCAAACAAAUAAGAGCACUUCCAUCACCACACCAAGGAAUCUCCCUUCAGCAACUCUACCGGGCAGCAGAAAUGAUGGAAUAUGCAGUCCACCCAUACGACCUAGAAGACAGCACCCUUGGUCUACUGGAGCUACUUUACCCAGCAGUUCAGAGAGCCAGAAGUACCCAAGAGUUUGCAACCUGCUGUGGUGACGCUUUGCCAAUGACUGACUGUGGUAAAGAAUAUGAACCCUCAGCUUCCUUGUUUCAAGUCUGAAUGAAAUCUUGAGAUGUAAUUUCUACUCCAGAGCCUUCCUGUGUGAUCAAGCUGAGGCUGGACACCACCUGAGUUUGCACCCUUGCUAGACAUCUUCCUCUUUCCUUUCCUGCUUCCCUGCUCCCUCCUUUUUUAGGCUCUCCUGGGAACACUCUCCUAAUAAAUCAAUUGCAUUUGAA